rnacentral:rRNA from 1 species
ACUCAAAGGAAUUGACGGGGGCCCGCACAAGCGGAGGAGCAUGUGGUUUAAUUCGAUGAUACGCGAGGAACCUUACCUGGGCUUGAAUGUAGGAUGACGUUCCGUGAAAGCGGAAUUUCCUUCGGGACGUCUUACAAGGUGCUGCAUGGUUGUCGUCAGCUCGUGCCGUGAGGUGUCGGGUUAAGUCCCAUAACGAGCGCAACCCCUAUCUUUAGUUGCCAUCAGGUCAUGCUGGGGACUCUAAAGAAACUGCCUACGCAAGUAGUGAGGAAGGCGGGGAUGACGUCAAAUCAGCACGGCCCUUAUGUCCAGGGCUACACACGUGCUACAAUGGCCGGUACAGAGGGUCGCUACCUGGUGACAGGAUGCUAAUCUCGAAAACCGGUCUCAGUUCGGAUCGAAGUCUGCAACCCGACUUCGUGAAGUUGGAUUCGCUAGUAAUCGCGCAUCAGCCAUGGCGCGGUGAAUACGUUCCCGGGCCUUGUACACACCGCCCGU